rnacentral:rRNA from 1 species
GACGAACGCUGGCGGCGUGCCUAACACAUGCAAGUGGAGCGACGAACCAGGCUUCGGCCUGGGGCAAAGCCGCGAACGGGUGAGUAACACGUGGGUAACCUGCCCCGAUGAUUGGGACAACCCGAGGAAACUCGGGCUAAUACCAAAUGUGCCCUCCGGCCAUAAGGCUGCUGGGGAAAGGAAGCUUCGGCCUCCGCAUCGGGAUGGGCCCGCGGCCCAUUAGCUUGUUGGUGAGGUAAUGGCUCACCAAGGCGACGAUGGGUAGCUGGUCUGAGAGGACGAUCAGCCACACUGGGACUGAGACACGGCCCAGACUCCUACGGGAGGCAGCAGUGGGGAAUCUUGCGCAAUGCGCGAAAGCGUGACGCAGCAACGCCGCGUGGGGGAAGAAGGCC